rnacentral:lncRNA from 1 species
GCAAAAUGUUACCCCAGGCAAUUUGUGAAAAUGUUAAUGUUGAAAAUUGGCAGAGACAAUCGCCACCCUAGAAUUUCUGUUAUCAAUUGCUUACCACGUUGUGUCUGCUCCCAGAGGCAGUACCCAAGCUAGACACAAAAUGGCUUGCAUUUUUGAAAGAAGACAGGAGAGAAGAGACUAGGCAGAGGCUUCUCCCUCUCCCCUCAUAGGACACAUCUGUAAGAACGAGCAUAAUCUACAUCUAAGUGGUGUUUUCUAACUGCAAGCAGUCUUGACCAGCCACCAGCAGCCUGCACCCAGAGUACAGUGUGAGCAUAGGUUCCAUGUGUUUUGCUUCAAGAGACAUAGAACCAGUGCCAGUGCUGAUGGGUUCCCGAGGGGCUGCAGGCCAGUGGAUGCUGGCAUGCUGACCAGAGAAGCGGUCCCCAAAGCCUCAGAGCAGCCAUAUCAGGAGCAAGUCAGUGUGGACACAGGAUUCCAUUAUCUAGUUCAGUCAGGGAACUUGUUCUGUUUUCCUUUUGUUUUAAAAGAUGCAGCUUCAAGCCCUCCCUUCCUGAUUUGGGCCUGCCUUUUCCCAGGAGGAGCUUCUCCAAGCCUUGUCCUAUAGCUACUUCAGUGUGAUGGAAGCCUCAGGGCACAAAGUAAUCAUUGGUGAUGUCAAGUCACAAUGGAAAUGCAGUGUAGGAUAUUCAAACCCCAGAGUCCUCACAGGGCAGAUUCCCUAAGGUAUCGAGAAGUGGUGGAUGAUCUGCUAGACCAGUGAGAGUGUAUAUGACCCAUCUGAAAGGAUUUUUUUUCUCUCACCACUCAACAAAUGGACAGUUUAUUCCCAAGGACGGUGUUGGGGAGGAGCAGGCAGGGGCAGGAGGGUCUUAGAGGACUUGGAACAGGUGGAACCCAUCUGUCCCUCCCUAUUCUCAAGGGCCACAAAUGACUCCACAGGUGGUUAUAGAAUUAACCACCAGUUCAUUCUCAAAAUGCUGCUUUGAACUCAGAGGGUUGAUACUUUUAAUUUGUAAUUUUUUGUAAAACUUUUUACAAGAUAGUAAAGUAUUUCACCAGAAUACCAGUUUCAAUCCGUCCGUGGUCUGAUUUUUAUAUAAUUUAGUGGUGCUUUAGAGACUUUGUUUUGUUGUUUCUGAGCGUAACAGCUCAAUCCUCUCUUGCCUGUAUCUACCUAAGACCAAUGUGAACCUUUGUAUUUUGCUCCUAAUUUUGGACUCAGUGGAAGUGUACUGUUUACAUGUACAGAUGCCCCAUCCCUGUGUUUUCUGCAAGACGCGCGCUCGAGGAGGAAGAUUGCACCUCACUAGCUCAUCUGCUUAGCAAAGCCACAAAACAAAACCUCUCACUUUGUACCCGUUUCCACCUAAAAACAAAAACCUUCACCACCUGGAACUCAGAUUUGCCAACACACUCUGCCUGGUAGACGCCCCGGGCCUCUAUCAUGUGUUCCCUUAGGAAUCAAGGCAGCACCUCCUGCCAGCUGGGUGCGAGACAGCACACAGAGGAGACACUGAUGCAGGACUUUACUGCCCAGCUCUGGGAGGAAGUUCUCUGAGCAGCAGGCAAUACGAAGGUCAAGAGGACUCAUGGGCCUUCAGGAGCAAGCCAGGCAGGAUUUAGGGACAACACAAGAGGCCAUCAAUCUGCUGGCAUGACUGAGACACACUUUGGAAGAACGUGAGUUCCAUGUAAGGUGAGACUGUGACUUUGAGUGCAGAUGACACAAGCACUUCAGGGGAGGGUCAGGGGCUCCAGACAGUAAGCAUAAGGCACUUACCGCAAGCAGUGGAUGGCACCAACUUUUCAAGGUGACUUUAUUAAUCAAUGGUUUCACCGCUAAAUUAUAUUUUUACAGAUAUGCACCUAUGCAACUUAAUGUGGCUCUUCUAAGCAGGUGAGGACCUCCUCCUCAAUGCUCUAUAUAAAGUGUUUGUGUUCUGUAUAGUGAGUUUCCCAGUAAAUGUGGCUUAAUACUUUCAUUCUUAGGAUGUGUCUUUCUACGUGAUGCAGCUACUAAAUUCUGUUUUGUUUGUGGAAUGACUAGCACAGGCCGAUGCCCUCUUUCCCUCACUUACCAGAAGACCAAUGAGCUGUUAAUGAGCGGUUAUCUCCAUGGUAUUACUGCUAAAUGCACUGAUGUCAUAAGUAUGUGGAAUCCUUUUCCUUUUGAGACUGUAUAUCAUAUACCAGACUGAAUCUACUUAAUAAACACUGAACAACAAACCC